AAUGAAGGACUAAGAAGGCCAAGACUGAUGAAGCAAGACUCUAUUGAUACAGACCUCCUAGAAAAAAGGGGUUGACGAGAGUAGCCCUUAUUGGAAAGUAUUACAGGGCUGCCUGUAUUACCAACAUUU
ensembl:snoRNA